GCCUGGAAGAAAGGCUUAAAAGAGGGGAUGCCCAACUCAGUUAGCAGCAAGCCAGGGAGGGAAUGGACUUUCAGUUCUCUGUUCCCAAAGGAAAGUGUGGCAGAGAACAAGGACUGCUAGUGCAACUGCUGCCUGUCUGAGCUCCUUGAGUGGCAGGUGGUCUGCAUUCUGAAUGAUUGCUUUGGAAGGCUUCCUAGUGACUCACCUGUGGGUGUAGAAUUGGACCAUGGCUUGCAAAAAGCUCCUGGAAAGAAAGGAGGCCUGCUGUGGGCUAGCUUCAGGUUGUUUUCUCCCCCCACCUCUUUUUUUUGGUCGGGGGGACCUUUGGUAACCCUGGAAUGGUGGACUCCUGUGGGGACUCAACUGAGUCUCCCACACCUGGAAGCAACAGGUUCUACAGCACUUCACAGCAGGAACUGAGCAGAUCCAUUUCCACUGAACACUGAAAUCAUGAAACGGGAAGAGACGCGUUGUGCCCUUAGAGCUCGCAGCCCACAGGUUGCGCAUUGCUGCUGCUUGAUUUCAGUCAGAUUUCUCAUGCUAAACAAGGCCAGGAGGAUGACUGCCCUUGGACAGGAGACAUCCCAGAAAGGUGCUGAAGUAAAUGGGAGUGGUAUUCAGCAGGUUUCCUUUCUCCCUCUAACUCUGAAGCAAUGCUCCAGCAAGGUGUUAGAGUAAGGAUAGGCCAGUGGACAACCUGGAUUAAAUUCUCAGCUCAGUCACAGACUUCCUGUAUAAUUCUGGAAGCAUCCCACCUUGGAGCGACAUGCUGCAGUGAGAGAACUUUGCUAGGAUAUGUCAAAAAAGUGUCCAUAGUCCUCUUUCCCUUGGAUUUCCUGGCACAGAAUAAGGACGAAGUACACCUCAUGCGCUUUAAAUAAAAGGCCAAAUCAUGUUUUUGUUCCAGACACAGAUCUCCCACUGAUAACCAUAAAACCCGGCAUGCAUACAGUAUCCUUUAUCCCAAAGUAUUUCCUAGUGUUAGCAACUAUGGGAUAGAUUUUCUGUUAUGUUAAUAGACUUACUGUGACCCUCUGAAGGUAUAAAAGGGCUCUUAAAGGUGAUGAAUCUGGCCUCUAAAGAAUAACCCUAACAUAGCCGGCAUGAUGGCUCAACACCACCCGAUCUUGCAGAUACUAG